rnacentral:rRNA from 1 species
CUCGAGUAAGGCGGGACACGUGAAAUCCUGUCUGAAAUUGGGGGGACCACCCUCCAAGCCUAAAUACUCGCACAUGACCGAUAGCGAACACAGUACCGUGAGGGAAAGGUGAAAAGCACCCCGAUUAGGGGAGUGAAACAGUACCUGAAACCGGAUGCUUACAAGCAGUUGGAGCCCCAUAGGGGGUGACAGCGUACCUCUUGCAUAAUGGGUCAGUGACUUAAUUUAUCGAGCAAGCUUAAGCCGUUAGGUGUAGGCGUAGCGAAAGCGAGUCUGAAUAGGGCGAUUCAGUCGCAUGUCCUAGACCCGAAGCGAAGUGAUCUAUCCAUGGCCAGGUUGAAGCACGUGUAAGAGCGUGUGGAGGACCGAACCCACUUAGGUUGAAAACUGAGGGGAUGAGCUGUGGAUAGGGGUGAAAGGCCAAUCAAACUUCGUGAUAGCUGGUUCUCUCCGAAAUGCAUUUAGGUGCAGCGUUGCGUGUUUCUUGCCGGAGGUAGAGCUACUGGAUGGCCGAUGGGCCCUACAAGGUUACUGACGUCAGCCAAACUCCGAAUGCCGGUAAGUGAGAGCGCAGCAGUGAGACUGUGGGGGAUAAGCUUCAUAGUCGAGAGGGAAACAACCCAGACCACCAACUAAGGUCCCAAAGCGCGUGCUAAGUGGGAAAGGAUGUGGAGUUGCUGUGACAACCAGGAGGUUGGCUUAGAAGCAGCCACCCUUGAAAGAGUGCGUAAUAGCUCACUGGUCAAGUGAUUCCGCGCCGACAAUGUAACGGGGCUCAAGCACGCCACCGAAGUUGUGGCAUUGACAUUAUUGGUAGGCCUUCGUGGUCCAGCCGUGUUGAUGGGUAGGAGAGCGUCGUGUGGCCAGCGAAGCGGCGGUGUAAACCAGCCGUGGAGGCUACACGAGUGAGAAUGCAGGCAUGAGUAGCGAAUGCAGAGUGAGAAUCUCUGCCGCCGGAUGACCAAGGGUUCCUGGGCCAGGUUGUUCCGCCCAGGGUGAGCCGGGACCUAAGGCGAGGCCGUCAGGCGUAGUCGAUGGACAACGGGUUGAUAUUCCCGUGCUCGUGAUAGUGCGUCCAUGCCGAGGCUGGUGAUGCUAACCAUCCGAACCCACCUUCGCUCCUUCGGGAGUGUUGUUUGUGGGGGAGCGUGGGAUCCGAUCUGGUAGUAGGCAAGUGAUGGGGUGACGCAGGAGGGUAGCUCCGCCACGCGGUGGUUGUCGUGGUGUAAGCCUGUAGCCCGAGUCCUAGGUAAAUCCGGGGCUCAUUAAAGGGUGAGAGGUGAUGCGUAGCCGAUUGAGGCGAAGAGAGUGAUCCCAUGCUGUCGAGAAAAGCCUCUAGCGAGUGCUGUUGCGGCCCGUACCCCAAACCGACACAGGUGGUCAGGUAGAGAAUACCGAGGCGAUCGAGCGAACUGUGGUUAAGGAAUUCGGCAAAAUACCUCCGUAACUUCGGGAGAAGGAGGGCCGGU